GAUGAACGCUAGCGGCAGGCUUAAUACAUGCAAGUCGAGGGGCAGCACGAAUAGCAAUAUUUGGUGGCGACCGGCGCACGGGUGCGUAACACGUAUACAACCUACCUAUAACAGGGGGAUAGCCUUUCGAAAGAGAGAUUAAUACCCCGUAAUAAAUUGAGUGGCAUCACUUGAUUUUGAAAGCUACGGCGGUUAUAGAUGGGUAUGCGUCUGAUUAGCUAGUUGGUGAGGUAACGGCUCACCAAGGCGACGAUCAGUAGGGGAUCUGAGAGGACUAACCCCCACACUGGUACUGAGACACGGACCAGACUCCUACGGGAGGCAGCAGUAAGGAAUAUUGGUCAAUGGAGGCAACUCUGAACCAGCCAUGCCGCGUGCAGGAUGACGGCCCUAUGGGUUGUAAACUGCUUUUGUACCAGAGAAAACCUACUCACGUGUGAGUAGCUGAUAGUAUGGUAAGAAUAAGCAUCGGCUAACUUCGUGCC
rnacentral:rRNA from 1 species